GAUGUCCUUAAAUCAAUGAUUGUGAAUUAUUACUGACCUGUGAGUCCUAUACUCUUGGGAAGAUGAUAAAGUCACCUUUUAUUGUAAAGGUGAUAGAGCCAGUGAUGUUCUAGGUCUAGUAUAUAGUAAUAUAUGUGGACCUGUGAACACAGUUGCCAAAGAAGGGUAUUACUACUUCAUUACAUUUAUGAUGAUCUGUCGAGGU
rnacentral:lncRNA from 1 species